rnacentral:rRNA from 1 species
AUCUCUGUAGAGUCUGCAUAUCAAUAAGCGGAGGAAAAGAAACUAACUAGGAUUCCCUCAGUAACGGCGAGUGAAGCGGGAAGAGCUCAAAUUUGAAAUCUUCAAGGUUCUACCUUGACGAAUUGUAGUUUAAAGAAGUGUUUUCUGUUAGGAUGUAGGUACAAAGUUCCUUGGAAUAGGGACAUCAUAGAGGGUGAGAAUCCCGUAUUUGACAUUAUUCAUUCUAGCGUUGUGAUACACUUUCAAAGAGUCGGAUUGUUUGGGAAUGCAGUCCAAAAUGGGUGGUAAAUUUCAUCUAAAGCUAAAUAUUGGCGAGAGACCGAUAGCGAACAAGUACCGUGAGGGAAAGAUGAAAAGAACUUUGAAAAGAGAGUUAAACAGUACGUGAAAUUGUCAAAAGGGAAGCGUUUGACACCAGUGUUGUUUUCUCGAAAAUCAAUUAAAGAAAGUUGGAUUUUGUAUUGUUAAGACCUUAUCAGCUUACUGUACUCUUUUCUUGCUUUUUUUAAUGCACUUUUCGUUUAACAAGUCAACAUCAAUUUCUUUUGUUGUAAAAGAGUCAUUGGAAGGUGGCUUUCACUUCGGUGAAAGUGUUUAUAGCCUUUGGCUUCUGCAAUCGGAGAGAUUGAGGUCUGCAGCGUAGAUCCUUCGGGGCUAGAUACGUAGAUGCUAAGUUAUAGUUUUUUAUAGACAACUUGUUGACUAUAAUUAAUCAUGUAGCUUACUCGUUUGCGCUAUUUUACCUACGCUUAGGAUGUUGAAGAUGUAGCACAUCAU